rnacentral:tRNA from 5 species
GCCCCUGUGGUGGAAUUGGUAGACGCGAGCGACUCAAAAUCGCUUUCCUUCGGGAGUGCCCGUUCGAGUCGGGCCAGGGGCACCA